rnacentral:rRNA from 1 species
UUCCAAGACCAUACCACUUUGGAAAUACCGGUUCUCGUCUGAUCACCGAAGUUAAGCGACACUGGGCCCGGUUAGUAUUUGCAUGGUUGAUCAACUGGGAUACUGAGUGUUGCGGCUG